CGAAAGAUUGAACUAGUCAUCUAGAAGAGUGAAACUUUUAGUUAUAGCUCCUUAAAUUAAGAAAACUUGAUUCUUAAUUUUAUGUAAUUCUUGCCAAUUUCCGUGCCAGCAGCAGCGGUUAUACGGAUAGAAUAAGCGUUUAACAUAAUAAAAAGGCCUAAAAAGUAUGUAGAUGGAAAAAAACAAAUCUUUUUCUAGAGUAAUAAAGAUGUUUGUAGUAUUGUCAAAUAAGGGAUCAAAUCCGACAAUCUUGAUGAGACUGCUUAAGUAAAAACUACUUACAAUUAAUUACUGACAUUGAGAUACGAAGGCUUAGAUCGCGAAAGAGAUUAGAUACCUCUGUAGUCUAAGCUGUAAACGAUUAUUGCUCUCCCAAUCUUUUUGAUUGGGUUUAGUGAAGACGGUAAGCAAUAUGCCUGGGGAGUACUUUCGCAAGAUUGAAACCCAAAACAUUAGACGGUCUUGGAAAUCCGCAGUGAAUCAU
rnacentral:rRNA from 1 species